CUCCCCACUCGGCACCACUAACAAAACGCGCAGACUUAAGGGAAAAACAAAACCUCACUUAGUGUACUACAGUUCCACUCCCCGUGACAUUCGCUCAGGACGCCCCCCAAAAAGGGGACACGGGGGGUAGAAGGGGCGGACGCAAACCCAGACCCAGACCCAGACCGACAGCACAUAAAAGGGUCGAAAAAGCUCCCGUCACUGUUCUUUCCGGGGUGGGUUAGGAGAGACCAGAGACUCGUUUGACUUACACGAAGGAAGGGGAGUGGGAGCAUUAGAGGGAAAUGUAGUGCCCCCCCGCGUCGCAACCCUCCCUCCAAAAAAAAAAAAAAAGCUGAACUAUUUUAGAAAGGGGAGCAAAGAAAAAUCACUUUCCUGAGGAUAAAAGGCCGAGAAACCGGCUGGUCGGAGUCAAAAAGGAAUUGUUUGUUAAGCAAGAAACACAGCCAAAGCCAGGCAAAUCAGAACCAAAAAGGCCAGCUCGGGGCCUUUUGCUGGUGGUAUUGGGGAAACUUAUUUUCUUUCUGCUGUGCUCGCUGGCUCUAUGGCAUGGAAACCUAAAGCUGUGGCAAUCAGAGGGGGAAAGCUCGGUUCUUUGGUCAACGUGAGAAAUGUCCAAACCUGCAGAGAGGUUUUAUGAGAAGUGUCUCUCCUCCAGUGGCCAACACAGAGAGAAGUGGGGCUGAAAGAGGAAGAGAGGAAUCCAAUGGACGUCAUUGAGCAGAUCUACUCCACGGAUUUACAGUGUUGUGAACCAGUAAAUUCCUCUUUCCAAGCAAGCCUGUUUGAGGUGAAUCUGACUUCGCUCUCAGCUUCAGAAGGUCGACACCCACACAGACCUGGGCAAUCAGAACACUGCACACCUCUGACUAGAGUGAUUGAUUCUGGACACCGAAACCACAUGCUCAUAUCAAGGCCAGUCAACUCAAAAGCGAUGGGACAGUUCUGGGACUGGGGAAGGGGCCUGUUCUGUCUGUUGGGAUUGCUGCAAAUAUGGAAUAUAAGCUUGGAGUUCCUAGCCCCUGUCAUAAAUGAAGAACCUAUUUGACAAUAGAGGUAAAAUAGACAAAAUGAGAGCAGAGAGAUAUGGAGAAUGGACACAGUCCUGUCGAAAUCACUGGAGCCACGUCAUCUAGCUGAACCUAAAGAUAAUCUAUCCCUGAAAUUUUUAAUUAUGUGAGUCGAUACCCCCUCACUUUCCCACUAUUUUUGGUGGGGGUGGGGUGGAAUCUAGUUUAUGUUGGGUUUAUUACCUUCCAAUUGAGAGUCUUUAACCCAAGAAUAACUGGAAAGUCAUGAAAUGCAUUUAAUCAGGGGAGGGAUGUGAUCAGAUUUGAGAGUUUUGAAGGGCGGGUUUUGAUUGAGUAUCUUUUCUUGAACACCACUCAAACCUUUCCCUUUUCAUUCCUGAAAAGUAAUGAAGAAGAGUCAGGUGACUGGUUGUACCUAUAUUUGUACCCAGUGUUUGUAGUGAGACCAAAUGUAACUGUGAUUAGGGGUCAUCACUGGGGACAAGGUAGAUGGCUAUUAUAUACACAUCAUUUUAUUUACUCUUCUUUAGUGUCUAGUAUUGAAUUUCACUUUGCAAAUUCUAUCCAUGCAUGCUUUUUUGAGCAUUUACUGAGCCAGUUAGCAUUUCAUUGAAGAAAUGACUAAAUUUCUGGCUCUUUCUCUAACUGUGAAUGAAAAUUUGAGAAGACGUUUGGUCAAAUUCCUUUUUUCUUUUCCAAGAUAGGAAUAUAGUAAGCAUUUUUCCAGAAAAGAUGGACUAGGCCCAUGAUUGUAAUAAUUAUCUAUGGCAAGAUUAAAAAUAGUUUAUUAGCAUUGAUUAUGUCACAUGUGCAUACAUUAAGAUUAAGAAGAAAGGUUGGGAAUUUUCUAAUGGGAUCAGAAGUGUUCUGGCUGUCUUCUGAUUACCAUAUAAACUAAGGUGGGUUUUUGUUUGUUUGUUUAAAUUAUUUUAAUUUUAGCCAGUGGGUAAAAGUAAAGUAUACAACUUGUAGAUCACAUUUUUAAAGAAAUUUUAUUGCCCUCUACUUCAUCUCUUUCCCCAGUGUGGGCUGGGUUGUGUACAUGAUGUUAUGAGCCAGUGUUGACCGUGGGCCACACAGAUGAGGCCAACCAACAGCUCAGAGGAGGCAGAGCAACAAGGUAGAGGUGACUUGGAUCCAUAAAUGACCUCCUGGAAUGGAGUCACCUACCUACCCAGGACAA